AGCUGUUGGGGCCUUCGGGCCUUGGUAGCGCAGCUAACGCGUGAAGUUGACCGCCUGGGGAGUACGGUCGCAAGAUUAAAACUCAAAGGAAUUGACGGGGACCCGCACAAGCGGUGGAUGAUGUGGAUUAAUUCGAUGCAACGCGAAAAACCUUACCUACCCUUGACAUGUCUGGAAUCCCAAAGAGAUUAGGGAGUGCUCGCAAGAGAACCGGAACACAGGUGCUGCAUGGCUGUCGUCAGCUCGUGUCGUGAGAUGUUGGGUUAAGUCCCGCAACGAGCGCAACCCUUGUCAUUAGUUGCUACGAAAGGGCACUCUAAUGAGACUGCCGGUGACAAACCGGAGGAAGGUGGGGAUGACGUCAAGUCCUCAUGGCCCUUAUGGGUAGGGCUUCACACGUCAUACAAUGGUCGGGACAGAGGGUCGCCAACCCGCGAGGGGGAGCCAAUCCCAGAAACCCGAUCGUAGUCCGGAUCGUAGUCUGCAACUCGACUACGUGAAGUCGGAAUCGCUAGUAAUCGCGGAUCAGAAUGUCGCGGUGAAUACGUUCCCGGGUCUUGUACACACCGCCCGUCACACCAUGGGAGUGGGUUCCACCAGAAGUAGUUAGCCUAACCGCAAGGAGGGCGAUUACCACGGUGGGGUUCAUGA
rnacentral:rRNA from 1 species